CUCUGAUUUACAGGACUCAAUCUAGAGAGCAUAAUGUUUUGUAAUGCCAAGGUUAAGUCUUUUCAGCAAGUGAAACAGAAUGGGGAAGAACCUCAACUUUCCCAUUGCUCCAUUCAGAUUUAUGAACACAUUUAACUGCAAGACACAUCCCUAUGGACAUAUGCAGUGGACAGAAACUACACGAAUCAAUAUAUUGGUCCGAGUUCUUCUCUAGAUGCCUACAGCUUGUCCAGGUCUGUGCAGUUUUUCCUGUGAUGGGCAUGGUCAGAUUCCUACAUGAAAAUCAAUUCUCACCAAGAGCAGAGUCGUUUCAGGCUGUCAGGAGAAGCAGAUCUCCUUGAAGAAAAGAUCACAGUAUAUUUUUUAUCACUUACUUCUGAAAGAGUUCAAUAGAAAAAUCUUCCACAUACAUCUCAUGCUGAGCCAUAUGCUUGAAGUAUGGUAAAUCUAUAGGUACCUAAAGUCAUGUUUUUACAAUAGUACUCUAUCUUAAUGAAGGCCUGUUGUCUCAUUUUGUCUCAGUACCAUAUAUUACCAAAGGGGCAGGAGCCAAAAAAAAAAAAAUUAAACCAAGGAGUAUUUUAAAAGAGUACACAAAUGCUUAAAACAGCUACUAGAUGGGCACUGUGCUUGUUCCACAAUUAUUCAAUGAAAAGGCAUAGUUGGACAGUGGGGAAUUUAAUGAAAUGAUUGCUCAACAAGAAUUUUGCAUUAAAAAGGAAUUGUGAGGUUGAUUAAAGUUCAGGAUAGAAGUAAAUUCUUUUAAUGUCAGGUUAAAUCAAUAAGACUUUCACAUCUGGAAUAUUGCAUUCAUUUUAUUUGUAGUCUGUCUUAAAGGUUCAAGUACCAGUUUAUUAGAUAUACAAGGAAGAAUGAAAAGAAGGAUUGUUUAGCUUAAAGAAGAAAUCAACAAAAGUAAAAGAAGGUAGAAAUAUGCAACUAAUAAUUGGAGAAUGUUACCUAGGAAGCAUUGUAACCCUUUGUCAGGUCUAAUUUUAUGGAAUUUCAAAGCAAUUACUUAUUAACAUAUAACAGGAACAAUCAUAAAGCAUAAAAGAUUGUAUUAAAACCCCAUCUACCUAUGUUUCAUGGCAUACCACAGAUAAUAACCUAGAAGCUGCAGAAAAUAAACUCUCCUGGUGUUUAAACUAUCUCUUAAAUUUAUAGUGUGGAACUGUUUACAGUGUUGAUUGUAAUGGAUGGAUGCAUGGAUGCAUGGAUGUUAGU